UUGUAUGUUUCUUCCUUUCUUGUUUCUUGACCUUGCUUUGCUGCUCCUGUUCCAACUUUUUCAGUGAGUUGUUUGGCUUGUCUUUGAAAUUUACGUUUCCCUCUAUUUACUAUGUUAAGUCCCGCAUAUUUUGAAACACUGCACUGGAAUUCUAAGUAAUUAGCAAUUUGGCAAAAGUUUUCUUUUUAUUCCCAUUUAAAAAUUCAAUAUUAGUUUCCAGUAGUAUGUUUUUGACACUGUCACUCUGUUACUCAUUUCUGAUUUGGGGGGCAUGAUGGUCUGAGAAUAUGGUCUGUUUGAUAAUGAAUCUUCAGAAUUAUUAAGUCGUCCUUUGUGACAUACUACAUGGACAGUGCUGUAACCCUUCUAUAUGUGUCUGAAAAGUCCGUCUUCUCUGGUGUUGGACACAGAACUGGACAGAGAGAGAUGGGAAGUUAAACACUGAGCCAGAGUGGACAUAUUCUACAGAUUUUCUGAGCUGUUGACAGUGGAAGCCCAGGCUGCGAGCCCAUUUCCAGGGAGAGCAGACAUGAAGGACGCUGCUUGGAAUGCGGAAAUAAACAGCCAUGCCCGGAAUGCCUUCACCUUGGGAUGCCUCAUCUUGGUCCCACGGGACCAGCUUCUCCUUCUUUUGGUAAAAUCAAGUGACCCUCUCUUGGGCCAGUUUCUACACAUCUCAAAGCCCCAGGUGCUGCCCCCAGUCCAUUUUCCCAUGGUCCAGAGAGUGGAGAUGUGGGGGUGGGGUGGGGGUGGGGAGGCUGUGUGCGACUGUGUAUUAUCCAGUUUAUGUACAUUAUACAUGAAGCAAGUAUGAAUUUGCUUCCCAUUGCUCGAAUGCAAGAAAUGGUACAGCACUUGAAGUUAGCUCUGAACUUUACCUCACCGAGAGGAUGAAAUGGCCAAUAUCGGGUAUUAUUGGGGUGCCCUUCCCCUACCCAGUCCCUGGGGACAACACAGUCCCGCAAGCACCUGAGAAAGGGCCUUCAGUUCUGGGCACCCAGGGGACCCCCAUCUUUCCAAGCCCAGGUGACCUGUUGGAGAAGCACUGGUGCCUGCCAGCCUGCCGGGGCCCCUGAGCAAGUACCCAUCUCACUCAGCAGCAGACGCUGGUCCAGACCCUGCUUUGGCGCCCCUGGAAGCGGCUCCUACAUCCCAUUGAGCAUGCCCAGCCCUGCGCUGUCAGCAGCUCCGACUCAGAAGCGCCCUCGUGUGGUCACGUAUGGGAACGGCGACACCCUUCACCCCCAAAGGGCCCAAGGGCCCGCCCCAGCGUUUGGGUCCUCGUCCUCCUGGUCCCCAAACCCCGCUCUGGGUCUGCAAUUCACCUUAAAGACUGGAGGCUGCUCCAGCCUCAGACACUGGAUGGGUAUUUUUCAUGUAGUUCCCAACCCCCCCCCCCAGAUAAGCAGAUUAUUUUAAAAUAGUGCGUGCUUUCUUUGUUUCCUUAUGGAUAAUGUUUCAAAGGAGGAGGGGAAGGAAAAGAGAAAAGGAGGGAGAGAUUGCUAAGAAGGCUUGAACAUUCCAGAGAAUGGUCAGGAAGGCAGGGAUGAGGGUAGUGAGCUGUAGGGAGGAUUGGCAGAGGGCUUUGUCUGGUGUGAGCAUUCAGGGCUCUGUCCAUCUCCACCUUGCUCCACCAUUACCCCAGUACCUCUGGGUCCCCAUCCCGCAGGUCCUCACCCUGCAGAGGUAGCCUCAGAAGAGAGAUGGUCAUCUUAAAGAGACAGUCAGACUUCCCAAGGCAAGUGGUCAACCCUGGACAGUCUGAGAGUCAGUUCUUUAACAGUAAAUCAACAAUUUAAUAAACCAAAAGUCAGUUAAGUUUCUUGUAAGUCAAUACUUUAAAUUUCCCACCUGAAGGCUGUGGUGGGAGCAGUGAGCAGGCUGGCUGUGGAGAAACGCACUCGGAGAAAGUCGCAUCCGCGUGGCCCCGGGCCUCUCGCUGGGUUGCUUCCAAGGGCCAAGCCAGCUCUGUUUGACCUGUCGCUAACACAGAGUUUUCUGGGUUUUCUUGCUCUCUUGUGUUUAUGGGAACAGGGGAGUGCUUAUUUUUCUCUGGCUCACAUUGUUUCUUUUGUCUUUCUAAUACUGUUUCUUCCAGUUCUCUGGGAUAACUUUUCUUGCUUAGGGCUCAGGGCUGAAUUGUGAUUUGUCUCGAGGUCAAAUGAGGGAUAUUUUUGUGGAAGACCAGGAAGGGAUGUUUUAAUUAGAGAGUCUGGGACAGUUGAGAGCUGUGUGUUCUUUUUCACUAGCAACACCUCACCAGGCAGAGUGAGAUCAGGGAUGACACCCCUGCCACCAAAGGCUAAAAGAGAGGUCCCCAGGCCCUUCCCUGCAUAAGCUCACUGCGGCUGGGCAGAGACCACUGCAGACAGGCCAGAUUUUCUACCUAUUAGCUCCAGCAUCUUCUCUGCUUAGGGUCAGUGGGAAAGUGUCCCUCAUGGGACGUCCCAGAUUUCAUCUGUCAUGGCUGCUGCUAGUGUUCUCUCCUUGGAGGCUUUCCCUCUCCCGCAGCUCCAACAGGUUUGCGGGUUCUUUCUCUGGUCUAACCCUUCACUCCUUCCACCUCUCAACCCUUCUCCUAGAGCCCUGGAACUCCGCAACCAGCCAGUUACCUCAGAGGCUCAACCUUGCCCCCACGGAUGUUUCCUCCUCUCCCUUGCCUUAAUUCACACAUUCAUCCAAUACUGGUUGAAUGAUCAUGAGGACUGUUGUUUUGAUGCUGAGGAGACAACGGUGGACAAAAUAAACCGACUCCUACCUUCCAUCCUUGUAGAGAGAGAGCGAGCACCUAACAUCUAUGAUGUCACAUGUGGUUAGUGCUGUGAAGAAAAAUACAGCAGGGUUAGGGGAGACGGAAUGAUGGUGUGGGGGCAGUGUGGCUAUUCUACAUAGGGAAGGAAAAAAAGUGCUUCAAAUAGAGGGGAGCCACGUGCCUCUGUGGGGGAAGGGCUACGGAGGAGCCACAGAGGGGCCAGUGUGACCAGUGGGGUGCGCGAGGGGUGAGUGUGAUGGGGGAGGUAGGAAGGCAUGCGGAAGCAUUGUGUAUGGGAGCCUGGAGUUCAGCAGAGUGUUAAGGUUGGAAACAAAAAACAAGGAGUCCUAAAUUUAUAUGUGUAUUAAAAUCACAGAACUAGGUAAGAUCACUUUAAAAGUGAAUAUAAAUAAGGGAAAAGAGAUGUUACAGGGGCGCCUGGGUGGCUCAGUGGGUUAAAGCCUCUGCCUUCGGCCCAGGUCAUGAU